GCAGGGCCGUAGCUAGGCAAUUUUGAUGUGUACGCAAUGCCAGAGAAGGAAGUCAUACGGCAGGGGGUCUGGGGGCCGCUCAACUUUGCUAUCAAAUGAUCGACGAAAGGUAGAUACAUUGUACAAGUUCAGUUUCAUAAGAAUGAAUUGAUGUCCAUGGUCUCUUAAGAAAGUCAUAUUUUAUUUCAUCAGUUAUCUUGGAAUCUUCAGAAAAGAUGUCAGGGUAGGGAGGCAUAGAAGACAUGACAAUGGUGUUUUGACACCUGGAGG
rnacentral:lncRNA from 1 species